CCUUAACCUACUCACAUCUACAAAGUCCCUUUGGCCAUGUAGGAUUAUAUACAGUAUUCACAGGUCCCAAGGAUUAGGAUGUGCAUCAUUCAGGGCCAUUAUUCAGUCUCUUCUCAGAGUAAUUUGGAGAACAUAGAGAGAAGACUUCAUCGAUGAACUAGAAAAUGGGCCUUACUAGACAAGGAAUGCUCCAGGGCCUUGAUCUUGGACUUGUCGGCCACCAGAACUAAUUUUUAUGUGUUGAUGAGAACAGUGUUAUUACUCUUUCAUUUAAUACUGCUGAAUGGAAGAAAAGGUUUUACUUACUUAUCAGCUUCAAAAUGCUAAUAAAUGGACAAACUGCUAAUCUGUUGAUCUGGAUAAAGGCGAGGAAACAUAAAUUGUAUCCUCACAAGACCCUCUAAGAAGAGAGGAAAAGACCUAAGAAAUUAUAAAUGCACAACUAAAAACCACUGUGAGUGUUAAUCCUGUUAUGAAUGAAUUA